rnacentral:rRNA from 1 species
UUCGGGAUGCUGGCGAGUGGCGAACGGGUGAGUAACACGUGGAGACCUGCCUCGGGGUGGGGGACAACAGAUGGAAACGUCUGCUAAUACCGCAUACGCCUUACGAGGGAAAGAUUUAUCGCCCUGAGAGGGUUCCGCGUCGGAUUAGCUAGUUGGUGGGGUAAAGGCCUACCAAGGCGACGAUCCGUAGCUGGUCUGAGAGGAUGAUCAGCCACACUGGGACUGAGACACGGCCCAGACUCCUACGGGAGGCAGCAGUGGGGAAUAUUGCGCAAUGGGGGCAACCCUGACGCAGCGAUGCCGCGUGGGUGAAGAAGGCCUUCGGGUUGUAAAGCCCUUUCAGUGGGGAAGAUAGUGACGGUACCCACAGAAGAAGCUCCGGCUAACUCCGUGCCAGCAGCCGCGGUAAUACGGAGGGGGCGAGCGUUGUUCGGAAUUACUGGGCGUAAAGGGCGCGUAGGCGGUUUUGCAAG